UUCUUCUCUUUCCCCUGUUCUUCAUCUCUCGUUCUUCCGUGAGAAGAUUUUUAGUUUUGAGAUCAGAAAACUUAAGAGAAACACUAGAGUUUGGUUGUUGGUGCUCGUGUUUUUUUUUGGUUUGGCAAGGAAAGAAGAAGAAAGGGUAGAUUGGUUAGAAUCUGGAGUUAGGGUUCUGAGAUUUGGUUUUGAUUGAAGUUUGUGUAAAUUGAGGAUGAAGUCGAGUAAUUCAUGGAUGGGUUGAAUGAAUUGAAGUUUUAGAUCGAUGUUUGGAGAUCGAACUGUAGCAGAGAAGUUUGGGAAUGAAAUUAGGGUUUCUCAGAUAAUCGAAUUAGAAUUCAAUUAAAGGUGAAUAAGGAGAAGUCAGUAGAUGGGUUUCUGAAAUUCAUUGAAGAUGUGAUUUGAGAUGGUUAAGGAGAAAUUAAUGGAUGGGUUUUGAUGAACAUGAAGUAAAUAGGAAGAUUAUGAUGCUAAUUUACAGAUCCAGUUAAUAACAAGAAGAAUUGGAAUUCAAUUCCCGAUUCCCAGUGAAGAACAGAUUGGUGUUGAACAAUUAAAGGAAGAAGAAGACUUCCGGUUUUGUAUUUGAGGUAAAUUGUUCUUCUUUGUUUACUGAGUAAUGAUUAUCUACUUUCAUUACUGAGUUUUUGAGUUUGUUAAUUGAACUAAGAACUGAGAUGGAUGUAUGUGCAUGUUUGUUAUAGAUGAACUGAGUUGAAUUGUGAUAAGUUUACAGUGAGGUUUGAGCCACUGUUGAAGUAAUCAGCAGUAAGAAGUAGUUAUGUUGGUCUGGAAAUUAUGGAAUUGUAUAUUGGUGGUAGUGGUUUCUUAAUUCUGGAUUAAGAUGAAGUGUAGUUGUAUUUGCUGGUGGUGAUUGAGAAAAGAGUGUGCUUGGAGUUGAAGUAGUAUCUAAGGUUGGAGACUUCGUGCUGUUGUCAGAGUUGUCGGAGGUGGUGGGCUGAGUUACAGGUAUUAGUACUGAAUGGAUAGGAUUGAAAGAAGAGCUUGAAUUGUGAACAGCUGCAGGGAAUGGUUGUUCUUUAUGGUGGUAUGUGUGUGGUAUGAGCUUUGGUUGUAGUUUAGGUCAAUAUAUAGUGAACUGAUGGUGUUGUUUGUCUGAAUGGGUUAAGUUGAUGAUGUUGAGAUGGAGGCUUUGUAUAGUGAACUACAGGUGGUGGUGGUUUAUGAGUUACAAGGAUUUGUAUUGGAGUUGUGUUAAAUUAUAGGGAAUGGAGUUUUGAACUAGCAUUGAUGUGAAAUCUCAGAUAUGAGUGAUGGAGUAAGCUGACAUGGGAUUACAAUUAUGUUUGGUUGUUGUAGAUGGUGAAUGAGUUAGGUUAUGCAUGAACUUGUCUGGGAAGAAGUUUGGUUAAUGAAUGAGUUAAUCAGGGUAAUGGUUCUGCAGCUGUUAGUGUAUGAUUGUGUAGCUAAGAAGGAUAAGCAUGAUCUGUGAGGAAGAUAUUUGGUAGUGGUUGUUUCGUAUGUUGAACUGAAGCUGAAUUGAGUAUUCGCAUGUGUAGGGCUAGCUGGAGUUUAAUUGAUACAAUGGGGAUCUGUUUGGGAGUUCAAUAGUUGUUGGUGGUGUUUAGAAGAUAUAUUGUUGUGUGUGUUUGUAUGGAGUUGAAAUUCUCUUGUAGAAGCUUGGAAAAGCUGCAAUUGCAGGUAGGCAUAGUUUUCAAUUGUAAUUGAAGUUUGAAGUUUAUUUAA